rnacentral:rRNA from 1 species
CCAAGAAGUCUAUCUUGCGCGCAAGCCAAUGGGUAAAUGGUGCGGUACGCCGCCCAUGACUGGAAACCCACAGGCACAGACAAAUCGAGUGUUGCGGGAUUACGGGUACGGCCGAUGGCGCAAGCCUUCGUCGGACCCCUCCAUCCCAGGGUGUCCCGUUCGGGUGCUUGCACCCAGCGGACAUCCCCGGAGUGCGUAGGAUGUGACCCGAAAGAUGGUGAACUAUGCCUGAUCAGGUUGAAGUCAGGGGAAACCCUGAUGGAGGACCGAAGCAAUUCUGACGUGCAAAUCGAUUGUCAGAGUUGGGCAUAGGGGCGAAAGACCAAUCGAACCAU